rnacentral:rRNA from 1 species
CUUCCACAAUGGGCGAAAGCCUGAUGGAGCAACGCCGCGUGAGUGAAGAAGGAUUUCGGUUCGUAAAACUCUGUUGUAAGGGAAGAACAAGUACAGUAGUAACUGGCUGUACCUUGACGGUACCUUAUUAGAAAGCCACGGCUAACUACGUGCCAGCAGCCGCGGUAAUACGUAGGUGGCAAGCGUUGUCCGGAAUUAUUGGGCGUAAAGCGCGCGCAGGUGGUUUCUUAAGUCUGAUGUGAAAGCCCACGGCUCAACCGUGGAGGGUCAUUGGAAACUGGGAGACUUGAGUGCAGAAGAGGAUAGUGGAAUUCCAAGUGUAGC